GCUGAAGAACGUAGCGAAAUGCGAUACGUAGUGUGAAUUGCAGAAUUCAGUGAAUCAUCGAAUCUUUGAACGCACAUUGCACCUCUCGGUAUUCCGGGAGGUAUGCCUGUUCGAGCGUCAUUUGUACCCUCAAGCUCUGCUUGGUGUUGGGUGUUUGUUCCGCCUCUGUGUGUGAACUCGCCUCAAAACAAUUGGCAGCCGGCGUACUUGUUUCGGAGCGCAGCACAUUUUGCGAUCCAGAUCAACGUACAGCGGCAUCCAAGAAGCCUUAUUUAACGCUCUUGACCUCGGAUCAGGUAGGGAUACCCGCUGAACUUAAGCAUAUCAAUAAGCGGAGGA
rnacentral:misc_RNA from 1 species